rnacentral:piRNA from 1 species
UGUCAUGGCCACCUACAGAUAACACCACCUGU